GGCCUCGUAGCUUAGCUGGUAGAGCACUGGCGGUACUAAAGCGAGGGUGGUGACCGUGCGUGGGUUCGAAUCCCGCCGAGGCCG
rnacentral:tRNA from 1 species